rnacentral:lncRNA from 1 species
UUUCAGGGAGACAUUCUUGGCCAAAUACCCUUGGCAGUAAAUUCAAUAGCCUGGUCUGUAAGAUUUGCACCAAACAUCUUGAAAUGCGCAGCACUUUAUAUGCUUCUAUCGACAUCAUUACACUCAACCAGGAAGUUCCAGCAAAACACUUCCUGUCCAUCUCACAGCACCUCAGCUUCUCACACACACUUCACAGCUUCUCACAGCUUCUGACACCUCAGCUUCUCACAGCACCUCAGCUUCUGACAUUCUAUCAGCUUCUCACAGCUUCUGACACCUCAGCUUCUCACAGCACCUCAGCUUCCUGAUGUCAGAAGCUGAGGUGUGAAGCUUAGGCAAUCUUGGGUCAUCACACUUAUCACAUUUCUGAAAGAAGGAAUGCCACAGUUUUCCAAUAGAUUUGUAACAAUAAAGAAACUAGGCCUAACUCUGAGAGAUGUGAUUGAUAUACAAGAUAUUAUUAAUCAAUUCUAAGACCAGCACAAGUAAGCCACUACAUAGAAAUAACUAGAUGUCUAGAUCAUCUACUACAAGACCAAUAUGAGGGAUAAAAAAAAUAAGAGAAAUAUGGCUCUCAUAUAAGUGGCAUACUUGAGAGAUGUGACUCUUAAAUAGGUUGAUGCUAAAAUCAUUGACUCACUGCAUUCUAACAAAUUGAGGUCCAACUUUUGCAAGAUUUGGAAGAUUUAUA